rnacentral:rRNA from 1 species
UAGGGAAUAUUGGUAAUCUGGGAAACCGGGAACCAGCAACGCCGCGUGCGCGAUGAAGGCCUUCGGGUUGUAAAACGCUUUUUGAGAGGAUGAGGAAGGACAGUACUCUUAGCAUAAGCCUCGGCUAACUACGUGCCAGCAGCCGCGGUAAAACGUAGGAGGCGAGCGUUAUCCGGAUUUACUGGGCGUAAAGCGUGUGUAGGCGGUUUGAUAAGUUGGAUGUGAAAGCUCCUGGCUUAACUGGGGGAGGUCGUGCAAAACUAUCAGACUUGAGAGUGGUAGAGGGAGGUGGAAUUCCGCAUGUAGUGGUGAAAUGCGUAGAUAUGCGGAGGAACACCAGUGGCGAAAGCGGCCUCCUGGCCCAUUUCUGACGCUCAGACACGAAAGCUAAGGGAGCAAACG